GCCAGCAGUCAUAUCACCUGCAAGCUCAGCAGGUGUGAGCCUGGUCAGUACCUGGAUGGGAGAUCUCCUGAGAAAGCUGAGGCUGCUGCUGGAA
rnacentral:rRNA from 1 species